rnacentral:rRNA from 1 species
UACGAGGGGGGCGAGCGUUGUUCGGAAUUAUUGGGCGUAAAGGGUGCGUAGGCGGUUUGGUAAGUCUUGUGUGAAAUCUACAGGCUCAACUUGUAGUCUGCACGAGAAACUGCCUGGCUUGAGUGUGGGAGAGGUGAGUGGAAUUCCUGGUGUAGCGGUGAAAUGCGUAGAUAUCGGGAGGAACACCUGUGGCGAAAGCGGCGCACUGGACCACAACUGACGCUGAGGCGCGAAAGCGUGGGGAGCGAACAGG